rnacentral:rRNA from 1 species
CACGUAGGGUGCGAGCGUUGUCCGGAAUUAUUGGGCGUAAAGAGCUCGUAGGCGGUGUGUCGCGUCGGCCGUGAAAACCUGCAGCUUAACUGUGGGCUUGCGGUCGAUACGGGCAUCACUGGAGUUCGGCAGGGGAGACUGGAAUUCCUGGUGUAGCGGUGAAAUGCGCAGAUAUCAGGAGGAACACCGGUGGCGAAGGCGGGUCUCUGGGACGGUACUGACGCUGGAGACGCGAAAGCGUGGGGAGCGAACAGG